rnacentral:rRNA from 1 species
AUGGCUCCUACUCUGGAGGAUGUGUCACUUUUGCUCGGACUACCGUUGGCAGGUCAUGCCGUAGGACCGUUGGACGCACCGGCUGGUUGGGAGCGAGCUCUCACAGAACAUUGUCACGGUGUUUUUCCGGAUGCUCCCGAUCCGGUAUGGGAGCAUCACGGACCUAAGUAUGAGUGGUUGCUAAAUUUCCGGAUCCAGAACUUCCGGGCGCCCUUGACUGCGGAACAGAUCACUCGGAGCCUCGAGGCCUACUUACUGUGGCUUUUCGGCAAGGUGAUGUUCACGGAGAACCAUGUCACCACUAUCAGCGCCCUCUACAUCCCUAUGGCACUCGAGAUAGCGAGCGCUCAGACGGCGGAUCAGAUCAGACAGAGGAGUUGGGGUUCAGCGGUGUUAGCGGCUACAUACCAAGGUAUGUGCAACGGUUGCCAGCUUACAUCGAGAAAGCCAGCCCUUCUUGGAUGCCCUCUAUUCCUACAGCUGUGGUCGUGGGAGAGGUUCUCUAUAGGGCGACCAGAUGUACGGGUUCAUGAGCCUAUAGACGCCAUGUUUGAUGUUGAGGGCAUCGACAUGCCUACUUUCGGUCUGUGUUGGACUCGUCGCAAGAGACGCUUUGCUAGUGAUCAGACCAGGAAGGCGUACACAGCAUUGAACGAGCAGUUCGAUGCGUACACCGGGGUAAUCUGGCAGCCCUACACGGAAGCAGCCAUACAAGCGAGAUACCCUGCUGGUAUGUCUGUGCUAUGCACAAGGGACCGAGAUUACUGGAUGACAAAAUCGAAGAUCAUCUUCGAUGUCUUCGUCGAGGAGAUGGCACAACAGAGGGUUAUGAGGCAAUUUGGUCUUCUGCAGUUGGAGCUACCUCCCCCUAUGGAGAACUCGGUGCCAGCACACAUCCACAGGACGACAAGGAAGGGCAUGAACAGGACAACUGCUGAAUGGCUAGUUAGACUAGAGCCGUAUGUUAUAGAAUGGGAGACAGCAAACACAAAUCUAUGGCACCAGAAUCACAAUUUCGAUCUCGAUGAAUUCAAUCUCUAUUUGCGGCGCUACAUGACCGGAACACGGUUACGCAUUGUUGAGUACUCCCACCCAGAGGAGUUACCGGAUCCUACUCCGUCGGAUAUGUACCCGAGCUAUGAUACUUCGGGCUCUAGGCAGUACGCGGCUACCUUGACACGCGAACUGUACGACGACGUGACCACCUUUGGACGAUCACUAUCGUCUGGACCUCUUCUUCAACAUCGUCCAGUGGUACAGCCCUUCUUGGAAAGAAUUCAGAAUAAGAUACGGACUGUGUACGAGGCUAUCACGUGCACCCGGAGAACCGAUGUUGUUUAG